GAUGAACGCUGGCGGCGUGCCUAAUACAUGCAAGUAGAACGCUGAAGGGGGAGCUUGCUCUUCUGGAUGAGUUGCGGACAUGUGAGUAACGCUUAGGUAACCUGCCUGGUAGCGGGGGAUAACUGUUGGAAACGAUAGCUAAUACCGCAUGACAACAGUUGUUGCAUGAUAAAUGUUUAACAGUGGCAACUGCUCCACUACCAGAUGGACCUUCGUUGUAUUAGCUAGUUGGUGAGGUAACGGCUCACCAAGGCGACGAUUCAUAGCCAACCUGAGAGGGGGAUCGGCCACACUGGGACUGAGACACGGCCCAGACUCCCACGGGAGGCAGCAGUAGGGAAUCUUUGGCAAUGGACGGAAGUCUGACCGAGCAACGCCGCGUGAGUGAAGAAGGGUUUCGGAGCGUAAAGCUCUGUUGUAAGAGAAGAACGAGUGUGAGAGUGGAAAGUUCACACUGUGACGGUAUCUGACCAGAAAGGGACGGCUAACUACGUG
rnacentral:rRNA from 1 species